ACAAUAGUAGGGGGGCAGAAACUAACAGGAUCCUCAUAGUAAUGGCGAAUGAACAGGGAUAAGCUCAGCAUGGAAAUUGGGGCUUGUGGCUUUGACUUGUAAUCUUGUGAGGCAUUGCCAACAGAGGCGCAGAUGUAAAUCUCUUGGAAGAGAGCAUCAAUGAGGGUGAGAAUCCUGAUUGUCAUUUGCAGCUCCCCUGUGCACGGUGUGCCUUCUAAGAGUCACGUUCCUUGGGAUUGGAGCGCAAAGUGGGUGGUAACUUUCAUCUGAAGCUAAACAAUGGUUUGAGACCGAUAGGAAACAAGUACCAUGAGGGAAAGGUGAAAAGGACUUUGGAAAGAGAGUUAAAAGUGCCUGAAAUUGCUGAAAGGGAAGCGAAUGGAACCAGUGGCACUAGGUGAGAUUGUCACACGCUACAAGGAUUGGUUGCCGUGCCAGCGCAAGCGACCUGGUAACUAUUGAGAUGCAUGUGUGUGGUGUGUCUUGCCAUGUGUGUCAUUGUGGGUUUAUGCAUUAAGAUAAUUUAGAGCGCAUGGCAAUAUGUUUCCGAAUAUAUGAAUGUGCUUUGCAAUGUUUAUGCAUAAACUUGUAGCUGCUUGUCUGGUUGCAGGGAUUGCUGUCAUCAACCUUUGUUGUGGAUGAAUUGUGCAUUCCUUUCUGCACCAGAUCUUGGACUAAAUG
rnacentral:rRNA from 1 species